rnacentral:rRNA from 1 species
GGGUGCUAAUACCGGAUAAGAAAGCGGAUCGCAUGAUCAGCUUUUAAAAGGCGGCGUAAGCUGUCGCUAUGGGAUGGCCCCGCGGUGCAUUAGCUAGUUGGUAAGGUAAAGGCUUACCAAGGCGAUGAUGCAUAGCCGAGUUGAGAGACUGAUCGGCCACAUUGGGACUGAGACACGGCCCAAACUCCUACGGGAGGCAGCAGAC